UCUGGCUACAAUUUGAAGCUU
rnacentral:piRNA from 1 species